CAUCGUCUUCUCAUUUUCUCACGCUUCGAAACCUAAAAGCCGCCGUUGUCGCCGCUUCAGCCGUCGCUGCUGCCUCCACCUUCAUUUUCUUCUUCUUCUUCUCACCCUGUCGUGCCUGCCCGCUGAUACAUCCGCCGCUUUAGCCGCCGCUGCCACUUCCGUUGCCGCCGCCACUGCUUCCUCCGCCGCCGCUUCCUCCCCCCGCCGCUGCUUCCUCUGCCUUCUUCUUCUUCUUCUUCUUCUUCUUCUUCUUCUUCUUCUUUUCGUCCUGUCAUGCCCGCCCGCCGCUGCUGCCAUGUUCUUCUUGAUGGAGCCAUUGAUUUUGGACAGGAUGAAGAAGUUGCAGAGAAUGAUGAAACAUAUUAGGAUUGUUUUUUGUAUUGUUAUUCUUUAACGUUGAUGAGGAUAAUGCAUUUGAAGAACCUACUUUAGUCUCAGCUUUCUCGAACCCAGUGAGCUUGGAAAUCAUUCUCUCAAGGCUUUUUUCUUACACAUGGAAGUGGAGAGUUGGAAGCAGAUAAUGUUUUGAUUUGAGAACUGAUAGUCCAUGGUUGGGAUCAUCAUGGUUAGACAAAAAAAGAAAGAGACAACCAUGCUAGAAAAAUUGAAUGGUGAUCAAGCAAAUGUGGUAAGAGGAUUCUGACGAAGAAGGAUUAUAGAAGUUAUCUCUAGAUCAUGAGGAGUUGAUCUUUAGACUUUCUAUUGUGUAACUUUUAUGGGAAUAACAGUUUUUUUCUUAUCAAAUUAAUGAUGGAUAUGUAGAUAUUUUUAUUAUUGGAUGAAUGUUG